CCCUAAUACCCAAAGCCUCUUCUAUCACCAGUUUCCUUUUUACUGAAACAGUAUCUGGAUGAGGAAAGAUGCGAUGAGGGGGUGAUAUAUGGAAGAAACAGGAUUCAAGGCAAGUCAGAGCACUUGACCAGGGGCAUUCUCGGAAAUGCAUGAGCUUCAUCUGCUGUAUUUUGCUGGGCUAGUUCUGCCUACUUCUAACUCCCUUAUAAGACCAUGGAAAUGCUGAAUCACAGUGACAACUGAAUGGGGGAAUGAAAACCAGGAAUAGAGAAGUGUUUCCUUCUCUGUUAUUUAGGAUGAUAAAGCAUCAUUCUGAGAGAAGACUUGCAAAGCUACAUCUAGGGAACCUCUGUCCACUGAGAGUUUAACAUUAAGAUUACACAAAAUUUAGAAUGCAAGGGCUAGCAGAGAACUU
rnacentral:lncRNA from 1 species